GAAGCUAUGGGAGAUAAGAUGGACUUCCUU
rnacentral:piRNA from 1 species